rnacentral:rRNA from 1 species
CUCAGUAACGCGUAGUCAACCUAACCUAUGGACGAGAAUAACCUCGGGAAACUGAGAAUAAUGCUCGAUAGAACACUAUACCUGGAAUGGUUUGUGUUCCAAAGGAUUUAUCGCCGUAGGAUGGGACUGCGGCCUAUCAGUUUGUUGGUGAGGUAAUGGCCCACCAAGACUAUUACAGGUACGGGCUCUGAGAGGAGUAGCCCGGAGAUGGGUACUGAGACACGGACCCAGGCCCUAUGGGGCGCAGCAGGCGAGAAAACUUUGCAAUGUGCGAAAGCACGACAAGGUUAAUCCGAGUGAUUUGUGCUAAACGAAUCUUUUGUUAGUCAUAGAACCACUAACGAAUAAGGGGUGGGCAAGUUCUGGUGUCAGCCGCCGCGGUAAAACCAGCACCUCAAGUGGUCAGGAUGAUUAUUGGGCCUAAAGCAUCCGUAGCCGGCUCUGUAAGUUUUCGGUUAAAUCUGUACGCUCAACGUACAGGCUGCCGGGAAUACUGCAGAGCUAGGGAGUGGGAGAGGUAGACGGUACUCGGUAGGAAGUGGUAAAAUGCUUUGAUCUAUCGAUGACCACCUGUGGCGAAGGCGGUCUACCAGAACACGUCCGACGGUGAGGGAUGAAAGCUGGGGGAGCAAACCGGAUUAGAUACCCGGGUAGUCCCAGCUGUAAACUAUGCAAACUCAGUGAUGCAUUGGCCUGUGGCCAAUGCAGUGCUGCAGGGAAGCCGUUAAGUUUGCCGCCUGGGAAGUACGUACGCCAAGUAUGAAACUUUAAAGGAUUUU